rnacentral:misc_RNA from 1 species
GAGCCAUAACAAAAGACCCAGUUUCCCUACGAUCCAUACCGCGAACUUCAGUUCAAUUUUUGAACACAAGGAAUGAUCCCUGAAAAAAAGGGAUACCGACAAAGCAGCGAGGAAUCACGUAUGCUGCCAUCUACCACAAUGCCCUAGACUGCCAACGGCACUACUUUCUGCACAGUAAGCCAACUGCAUAGCAAGCUCUGCUGAAUAGUGAACGGAUUCGGAUGGAAAUCCUGCAGGAAGCCGGCCGAAGCGAGGUCGAUCUUGUAAAUAUGGUCGUUAGUUUUGUUCAUGCUCACCACCUCUGAAUUCUCAAGCAGAACAAUGACACCGUGCCGAUAAAAAGCAAGAUAUAGUGUUUCUUUUUAAACCUCCACUGAAGACGCCAGGAAAGCACAGAUUUUAAGGUACCCCUGAGAAGCUUGGGAUCAAGAGGUCAAAGGUGAGCUGUCAAAAUGCAGGCCAUAUAUAGCGCCGCCUCGCCGUCACCAAUGCGUCGACCGCCACACCCGCCUUCGCCGUUACCCAAACGACACAUAAGCUCCUCGCAGCCACACCACCACGGGUGCACCAACUCCCCCUCUUCUUCCCCACAGCCGUCGGUGAAAGGGUACAGUCGCCCUGUCAUGCCAGGCUAUUUCGCGACAGCGUCACACCAGCCCGCCACUGCACGAGGGUCUUUGACCGUGCAGCAGCAGCAGCAGCAUCAUACCGGCUCAUCGGCAGAGACGAAUUUGAGAGAUUCUAUACCUGCUAUGAGCAGGCCAGUUGCCAUAGCUUGUCUUAUAUGCAAUAUCCUCUCUCCCGGCCUAGGUACUUUCAUCUCGGGUUUGACUGCCCUUUGCUGCUCCCGACCCAGACCUGAAGGCACCGCCAAGCUGCAAGUUGUCUGGAUUAAUACCUGGGUGGCUGUACUUCAGUGCUGCACCACUUUCUUGCUGCUGUUAGGCUGGAUAUGGAGCAUCAUAUGGGGCAUAGCUUUUAUAUCAAUUUCAAAUGAAUAUUACUAUGCGUCGACUGACGACGAAACGGGCAAAGAUUCGGGAGAGAAAAAAGAACUCCAAAACGGAGAAACACGAAAUAUACCCGAGGCAACAUUGUCCCCCUCUGUCACAUCUCCAGCAAGAGACGCCACUGCGCAGCCAUCUCUAACAGUCCCCGCAGCAGAUAGAAGCAGAUCGGAUGGUGUGCCACGCUCUCAAACAGCACCCAUAAUAGUACUGCAAGAAGCGCCCAUCAUCGUGCAGCCAGUCGACAAAACAAACACUAGAACUAUUCCUAAUUUUAACCCAAACAGCGUUCGUCACCAAAGACUUCUUCGUGGGCAGAGCGCGGAACAAAUUUCAAACUAUUUGAUCAGUCCGGAAAGACUAGAGGGGAUUGUUAUCCAUGGAAAUGCCACGAUGACGUAGUGGUAACUAUUUGUCUACUUACGUCACUGUGUCCUGUAUAUAGACAGACAGUAAAUCGUGUGAAGCACUGUGAAAAAACAAUGCAUUACUGAGAGGAUGAAAAUUAUCGGUAUUUAAGCUCACCGCCGUACCUGCUGGGAUUUCCUAGAGUCUGAUUUAUUAGGGCUUUGCGCCGUCAAACAUAUUUAUACUCCCCAGCAUUUCGGGAGAUUUCAGCGAGAAAGGAAGCGUUAAGCGGACGCGAAACACACGGCGCUUUACCUGGGCUCACCUGGCUAGAUUAGCAGCUCUAUCGCUGAUAACCCGCCAGUCAUAGGAAAGUUGACUCUUUCAAAAGUUUAAAAUCUUGAGAAAAGAGCACUGUUUUUACAACAAGAAAGGAGAAUUGUGAGGAUAUGGUUGUGUGAUCAAGAGAUCGUGUGGUAAUUAACGAACCUCUCUUGACGACCAGGGGAAAGCUCACACUGCAGUGUUCAGAGAGGAGAAAGCAACGGAGAAAAGAUAUGAAAUGAGACUUGGAACCUCGACACAACGGAGGCUUGCUUCAAUUAAAAACACAAAAUACGGAAUAUCUUUCGGAUUGGCCAAAUUCGUUUUAAUAGACAACUUAUUCAAUAAUUCAAGUUGUUGGAGCUGCAGCCCAUUCGAAAAUUGAACAGAGUGUUUUGAUUUUCCAGGAAGAGUGAAAACACACACAAAAAAACUUGUAGUUGCUUUUAGUAGUGUGUCAUUUUUAAAGAGCAAACA